rnacentral:rRNA from 1 species
AGGGUUCGAUCCUGGCUCAGGAUGAACGCUGGCGGCGUGCCUAACACAUGCAAGUCGAGCGAUUCUCUUCGGAGAAGAGCGGCGGACGGGUGAGUAACGCGUGGGUAACCUGCCUCAUACACAUGGAUAACAUACCGAAAGGUAUGCUAAUACAGGAUAACAUAAGAGAUUCGCAUGUUUCUCUUAUCAAAGCUCCGGCGGUAUGAGAUGGACCCGCGUCUGAUUAGCUAGUUGGUAAGGUAAUGGCUUACCAAGGCGACGAUCAGUAGCCGACCUGAGAGGGUGAUCGGCCACAUUGGAACUGAGACACGGUCCAA